rnacentral:rRNA from 1 species
UACGAAGGGGGCUAGCGUUGCUCGGAAUCACUGGGCGUAAAGGGUGCGUAGGCGGGUCUUUAAGUCAGGGGUGAAAUCCUGGAGCUCAACUCCAGAACUGCCUUUGAUACUGAGGAUCUUGAGUUCGGGAGAGGUGAGUGGAACUGCGAGUGUAGAGGUGAAAUUCGUAGAUAUUCGCAAGAACACCAGUGGCGAAGGCGGCUCACUGGCCCGAUACUGACGCUGAGGCACGAAAAGCGUGGGGGAGCAAACAGG